GAUGAAGAACGCAGCGAAAUGCGAUAAGUAAUGUGAAUUGCAGAAUUCAGUGAAUCAUCGAAUCUUUGAACGCACAUUGCGCCCGCCAGUAUUCUGGCGGGCAUGCCUGUCUGAGCGUCAUUUCAACCCUCAUGCCCCUAGGGCGUGGUGUUGGGGAUCGGCCAAAGCCCGCGAGGGACGGCCGGCCCUAAAUCUAGUGGCGGACCCGUCGUGGCCUCCUCUGCGAAGUAGUGAUAUUCCGCAUCGGAGAGCGAUGAGCCCCUGCCGUUAAACCCCCAACUUUCCAAGGUUGACCUCAGAUCAGGUAGGAAUACCCGCUGAACUUAAGCAUAUCAAUAAGCGGAGGA
rnacentral:misc_RNA from 1 species